rnacentral:tRNA from 1 species
GGCCCCGUGGUGUAACGGUUAGCACGUCAGGUUUUCAACCUGGUAGCGCGGGUUCGACUCCCGCCGGGGCUA